UGCCUGCCAGUGACCAUGUGUUCAACGGCCGCGGUAUUCUGACCGCGCGAAGGUAGCGUAAUCACUUGUUUUUUAAAUAAAGACUAGUAUGAACGGCCCCACGAGGACCUAACUGUCUCCUUAGUCCAAUCAGUGAAACUGAUCUCCUCGUGCAGAAGCGAGGAUUUUACCAUAAGACGAGAAGACCCUAUGGAGCUUUAAACUUUUAUUAAUAAUCUUCUUCACCCCUCUAAGGAAUUAACAACCAAUUUGAUUUGUUUAAUAAAAGUUUUGGGUUGGGGCGACCAUGGAGAAAAAAAUAUCCUCCCUGAUGAAAACCUAACCAAGAGCCACAGCUCUAAGUAUUAAGACACUUAACUCUUAUUGACCCAUUUUAUGAUCAACGAACCAAGUUACCCUAGGGAUAACAGCGCAAUCCAUUUCAAGAGUCCCUAUCGACAAAUGGGUUUACGACCUCGAUGUUGGAUCAGGGCAUCCAAGUGGUGCAACCGCUACUAAAGGUUCGUUUGUUCAACGAUUAAAGCCCUACGUGAUCG
rnacentral:rRNA from 1 species